CAAUAGCGUAUAUUAAAGUUGUUGCGGUUAAAAAGCUCGUAGUUGGAUUUCUGUUGAGAACAGCCGGUCCACCUCUUGGGUGAGUAUCUGGAUUGGUCUCGGCAUCCUCUCGAAACUCGUUGCUGCGCUUGAUUGCGUGGUGCGGUGUUCGGGACUUUUACUUUGAGGAAAUUAGAGUGUUCACGGCAGGCAUUCGCCUUGAAUAUAUUAGCAUGGAAUAAUACUAUAGGAUCUUGGUUCUAUUUUGUUGGUUUCUAGAGCUAAGAUAAUGGUUAAUAGGAACAAUUGGGGGCAUUUGUAUUAACAUGUCAGAGGUGGAAUUCUUGGAUUAUGUUACGACAAACUACUGCGAAAGCAUUUGCCAAGGAUGUUUUCAUUGAUCAAGAACGAAAGUAAGGGAUCGAAGAUGAUCAGAUACCGU
rnacentral:rRNA from 1 species